GGGAGCUCUUUGAUUGGUUUGAGUUAGGCUCCGUUCUUCUUUGCGUUAAAAAGUCCUUUUCUCUUAAAAGGAACGAAGAACGACCUCCAUUUUCUCAAAAAAUUCACCAUCUAAAACGCCAUUUUCUCCAGAUGAAACUGAAAAUUUCACCAUCUAAAAAGCUUGAAGUGCUUUUGGUUGAUAAAUGACCAAAUUAACCCGUCUUCUACCCCUUGGAAAAACGUUCUUUCCUCUGUUGUGAAAGUUCUAUACCCAUUUUUUUCACAUUUUCGCUGUGAAAGCUCCUUCUUGUUCUUUGUUCCUCUUCCGCAGAAAUCAUGGAAUAAAAGCUUGCUGCACAGCAUGUGGAAAUGAAGAGACUUGGUACAGAAAACCAGAGAACUGCUGCUACCCAUGGGACAUUGAGACAGGAACUUGCUGCUGCACAGCAUGAGUUGUAGAUCUUGCAUGCUCAGAUAGGAGCUGUAACAUCUGAAAGAGAACAACAAAUGAGGAGCCUUACGGAUAAAAUAGCUAAGAUGGAAACAGAACUGCAAGCAGCUGAGCCUGUUAAGAGGAUCAGCAUCAAAGAUAUCAAGAGCCAUCCGUGGUUUUUGAAGAACUUGCCCAGAGAACUGACAGAGGCAGCUCAAGCUACUUACUACAAGAAAGAAAACCCGACGUUCUCCCUCCAAAAUGUUGAUGAAAUCAUGAAAAUAGUUGAAGAGGCCAAAGUUGCCCCUAGAGUAUCAUGGCCUAUCGGAGGCUUUGGCUAGGGUGGAGAAGAAGAUGGGGAUGCAAAGGAAGAAGAUACAGAAGAAGACGAAGAAGAUGAGUACAAGAAAACGGUAAAAGAGGUACAUGCCAGUGGAGAAAUUCACGUCUCUUAAGGAAAAAUGAGAGUAAUAUAUGGUUUCCAAAUGUUGGAGCUUUGGUGUCUUUUAGUGCUUACAUAUGUUCUUAUAAAUAUGAUGUCAGUUUUUUGCUAUUGGACCUGGGUGUUGAAUAAACAACCUGUAAAUUAGUGUGUUUUGGACAAGUAGUUUGUGCAGUCUCUAAUAUGAUUUUGUAGGGUGUAUUGGUACUGAUUAGGUAGGUGAAAACUACAAGGAUUUGAACCCUGCCUAGUUGGUAAGUUGGGUAAAUGUAGUGGUCUACACUUUUUAGAGUAAAAUAGAAGAUCUGUCAUCUGUGAGUCCUAUAAGUUUGAUUUCUUCCAUCAUAAAGUGGUAUGUUAUGUCUAGAGUUGCGACUCUAUAAAAUUUAAGAAAUUACCAAUAUAAUUUUUAAGUAACAUUUUCAUUA